AAGGCUUUGGCCUUGAGACUGGAGGGACUAGGGGAAUGGAGCUGAAGGACAUUUGGAUGCUGGCCUCAUUCUCUGGUCUGUGGUGAGAACAACCAACCAUGUUUCCCCUUGUGUGAACACCUUGCAUAGGAAGUGAGAGACUCCAUGUUGUCUACUCCGUUGGGAUCUGCUGUGCAUUCAUGUGAAUAUCAUUCCAUUCACAUGUGGUUGAUAUAUGGAAUGACAUAUAGAUACAUAUAUAUGUGUGUAUGUAGAUAUAUACCUCCACACAUAUAUAUCUGUGUGUGAGCACACACACACACACACACACACACACAGGAAACCUUGCUGAAGCUGGCAAGAUUUCCAGAAAGAGCAGACAGAGAGAGGGUCCUCGGGCUGCCUUCCUUGGAGUCCCUAAACCAUCUUCAGGCCGAUCCGUGUUGAUAUGAAUAGUUCUUACUUAUUUUUAUUUUAUGUGUCUGUGAACCUUUUGGAGCUGGAUUUACAGGCUGUUGUGAGUUGCACAAUGUGGGUGCUGAGACUCGAACUCAGGUCCUUGUGAAAAGCAGAAAGUGUUCUUAACCCCUGAGCAAGUUCUCUGUCCACUGGCUGAUUGUUUUUAUUUUUAUCUUUUUUUUUUUCAAAUUAGAAUGUAAAGGCAUAGCCUUCAUCAUGAUAUUUUGUAUAUAUGUGCCACUAGACUUUAUUCUUACCUGUCUUCCUCAUUCCUCUCUGCUCUAUUCAUCUCCCCUUCCCACAUCAAUUCCCUGACAUGAGUUUUAAUUCUGUAUGUCCCGUCAUGCACCAUGUCCCACAUUCUUCAUCAAGAUCCGGUCCAUCACCUUAUAUAGAACUUUCAGCGAAGUGGAAAGCCAUCGCGUGGCUACUAACACUUAAGCGAUGCUUCAGAGGAAGCUGCCUGAAUUCUUACUGCCUUCGAGUGUCUCAUGGAGAUCGCUUCCUCUUGCUGCCAGCCGGGACACAGUGGCAGACUUGCAUAGGAAAAUACCCAGCCUGGCUGCCUGCAGCUAACAAGCCAGCCGCCAUUUAAAUUUCAAUCAGCCCCUCUGUUUGUGUGUGAGUUUCUUG
rnacentral:lncRNA from 1 species